GAUGAACGCCGGCGGUGUGCCUAAUACAUGCAAGUCGAGCGAAGUUUUCUGGUGCUUGCACUAGAAAACUUAGCGGCGAACGGGUGAGUAACACGUAAAGAACCUGCCUCAUAGACUGGGACAACUAUUGGAAACGAUAGCUAAUACCGGAUAACAGUAUUUCUCGCAUGAGAGAUAUUUAAAAGUUGGUUAUGCUAACACUAUGAGAUGGCUUUGCGGUGCAUUAGCUAGUUGGUGGGGUAAAGGCCCACCAAGGCGACGAUGCAUAGCCGACCUGAGAGGGUGAUCGGCCACACUGGGACUGAGACACGGCCCAG
rnacentral:rRNA from 1 species